rnacentral:rRNA from 1 species
CCUAAUAGAAACCCAAAAACGAAAGUUACUCUAAUUAACCUCUUGAAUACACGACAGUUUGGGCACAAACUGGGAUUAGAUACCCCACUAUGCCACACCGUAAAUUUGAACUACACUUAAAACGCCAGGGUACUACGAGCCGAGCUUAAAACCCAAAGGAUUUGACGGUGUUCCACCCAACUAGAGGAGCCUGUUCUAUAAUCGAUGAUCCACGAUAUACCUAACCAUUUUUUGCUAUUCAGCCUGUAUACCUCCGUCGUAAGCUUACCGCUUGAGUGAGGAAAAGUAAGCAAAAGGACCUAAAGCCAAAACGUCAGGUCAAGGUGCAGCUUAUAAAAUGGAAGAAAUGAGCUACAAUUUCUAAUUUAGAAUACACGAAUUACUGCAUGAAACAAAGUCAUGAAGGUGGAUUUAGCAGUAAGUGAGGAAUAGAGAGCCUCACUUAAUUCGGCCCUGGAACGCGUACAAACCGCCCGUCACCCUCUUCGAUAGCUUCAUUAAUAGUUAAAUAACCUAUUUACCGCGUUUUAGAAGAGGCAAGUCGUAACAUGGUAAGCAUACUGGAAAGUGUUCUUGGAAUAA